GAUCAUGGCUCAGGAUGAACGCUAGCUACAGGCUUAACACAUGCAAGUCGAGGGGCAUCAGUUUGGUUUGCUUGCAAACCAAAGCUGGCGACCGGCGCACGGGUGAGUAACACGUAUCCAACCUACCUCAUACUCGGGGAUAGCCUUUCGAAAGAAAGAUUAAUAUCCGAUAGCAUAUAUUUCCCGCAUGGGUUUUAUAUUAAAGAAAUUCGGUAUGAGAUGGGGAUGCGUUCCAUUAGUUUGUUGGGGGGG
rnacentral:rRNA from 1 species